AGAGUUUGAUCCUGGCUCAGGACGAACGCUGGCGGCGUGCCUAAUACAUGCAAGUCGAGCGAGCCGAACUAAUUGAUUACCUUCGGGUAUGAAGUUAGGGAAGCGAGCGGCGGAUGGGUGAGUAACACGUGGGUAACCUACCCUAUAGUCUGGGAUACCACUUGGAAACAGGUGCUAAUACCGGAUAAAAGGAGAGAUCACAUGAUUUCUUUUUGAAAGGCGGCGUAAGCUGUCGCUAAAGGAUGGACCCGCGGUGCAUUAGCUAGUUGGUAAGGUAACGGCUUACCAAGGCAACGAUGCAUAGCCGAGUUGAGAGACUGAUCGGCCACAUUGGGACUGAGACACGGCCCAAACUCCUACGGGAGGCAGCAGUAGGGAAUCUUCCACAAUGGACGCAAGUCUGAUGGAGCAACGCCGCGUGAGUGAAGAAGGUUUUCGGAUCGUAAAGCUCUGUUGUUGGUGAAGAAAGAUAGUGAGAGUAACUGCUCAUUAUUUGCCGGUAAUCAACCAGAAAGUCACGGCUAACUACGUGCCAGCAGCCGCGGUAAUACGUAGGUGGCAAGCGUUGUCCGAGAUUUAUUGGGCGUAAAGCGAGCGCCAGGCGGAAAGAUAAGUCAGAUGUGAAAGCCCUCGGCUUAACCCGAGGAAUAGCAUCGGAAACUGUCUUUCUUGAGUGCAGAAGGAGGAGAGUGGAACUCCAUGUGUAGCGGUGGAAAUGCGUAGAUAUAUGGGAAGAACACCAGUGGCGAAGGCGGCUCUCUGGUCUGUAACUGACGCUGAGGCUCGAAAGCAUGGGUAGCGAACAGGAUUAGAUACCCUGGUAGUCCAUGCUGUAAACGAUGAGUGCUAAGUGUUGGGAGGUUUCCGCCUCUCAGUGCUGCAGCUAACGCAUUAAGCACUCCGCCUGGGGAGUACGACCGCAAGGUUAAAACUCAAAGGAAUUGACGGGGGCCCGCACAAGCGGUGGAGCAUGUGGUUUAAUUCGAAGCAACGCGAAGAACCUUACCAGGUCUUGACAUCUAGUGCCAACCUAAGAGAUUAGGCGUUCCCUUCGGGGACACUAAGACAGGUGGUGCAUGGCUGUCGUCAGCUCGUGUCGUGAGAUGUUGGGUUAAGUCCCGCAACGAGCGCAACCCUUAUUAUUAGUUGCCAGCAUUAAGUUGGGCACUCUAAUGAGACUGCCGGUGACAAACCGGAGGAAGGUGGGGAUGACGUCAAGUCAUCAUGCCCCUUAUGACCUGGGCUACACACGUGCUACAAUGGGCAGUACAACGAGGAGCGAACUUGUGAAGGCAAGCGAAUCUCUGAAAGCUGUUCUCAGUUCGGACUGUAGGCUGCAACUCGCCUACACGAAGCUGGAAUCGCUAGUAAUCGCGGAUCAGCACGCCGCGGUGAAUACGUUCCCGGGCCUUGUACACACCGCCCGUCACACCAUGAGAGUUUGUAACACCCAAAGCCGGCCGGAUAACCUAGUUUACUAGGAGUCAGCCGUCUAAGGUGGGACAAAUGAUUAGGGUGAAGUCGUAACAAGGUAACC
rnacentral:rRNA from 1 species